CCUACGGGAGGCUGCAGUGGGGAAUAUUGGACAAUGGGGGGAACCCUGAUCCAGCCAUGCCGCGUGUGUGAAGAAGGCCCUCGGGUUGUAAAGCACUUUCAGUGAGGAAGAACGCCUGGUGGUUAAUACCCAUCAGGAAAGACAUCACUCACAGAAGAAGCACCGGCUAACUCCGUGCCAGCAGCCGCGGUAAUACGGAGGGUGCGAGCGUUAAUCGGAAUUACUGGGCGUAAAGCGCGCGUAGGUGGCUUGAUAAGCCGGUUGUGAAAGCCCGGGGCUCAACCUGGGAACGGCAUCCGGAACUGUCAAGUUAGAGUGCAGGAGAGGAAGGUAGAUUUCCCGGUGUGGCGGGGAAAUGCGUAGAGAUCGGGAGGAAUACCAGUGGCGAAGGCGGCCUUCGGGACUGACACUGACACUGAGGUGCGAAAGCGUGGGUAGCAAACAGGAUUAGAUACCCUGGUAGUC
rnacentral:rRNA from 1 species